UUUGAGAAGAAAGACAAGGCAGGAAGGAAAUACCGAGUCGAGACGAAUAGGUCUACAGUUAACGAGGAGCAAGCGAUAUCGCACGUACCAUCAUCUUUUUACUCGGUGGCGGCGCGACACUCUGCUCAGCGUUGCUCGAUGACAUGAUCGCAUCUAUACUGGCCAGCUGCGUUUGCUACGAGUCUACGAGCAUAUACGUGGCAAUUGUGUUAAACAUGAUCGUAGGAGACGAGAGUGAUAACGGAUGACGCUUUGCGUGCGGCGUGAGCGCUCCAUGUUGACCGACGCUGCUCACAGCUCACAGUUCACAGCUCACAGCCAGUCUCACACACACACACACACACACACACACACAUCACACAGUUCUCAUACACCAGCUCUGACACGAGUCACACGUCGUUGGGACUGCUCAACUGCUGGGACUGCUGGGAGUGGUAGUCACGUUCAGUCACGUUGCUCGGUUGUGGGGUUAGAAUGCACUAAACCGCGCGCGAAUAUUGCGGCAAAAGUGGCGCAAAGCCUAUAUACAUAUUACGUAAUUAAUUAUAUCACAAUGUUUUGCAAAUCGCAACAUUUCUACAGUUUUGCAUUUUGCUAAAUGCUAAAUGAAACAAGUAGUAAUAUAUAAUUUAAAUUUUUUAACUUGGAUGUUUUGUAAAUUUUAAACAUUUAAAUUUAAAUCGCGUUUUACCUUGUCAAAUAUUGAAAAAUACCGACAUUGGGAAAUUUACCGAUUUUCGGUAUUGGAUGUCGACGCCGCGCUAUUUAAAAUAUCUUUGUUUAAAAAUAAUCGAUAUACGCGAGCAUUUGUGAAUUGCAAUAUGGCUUUUGUGAUUUAUUAUAAACACAAGAAAAUCUCAAGAAAAUUUCAACAUCUUAUUUGUCACAAAAUAGAAAAUUAAUUAUACAUUGUGUCCGCGUGUAAGAGAUUAAAUUACAAAAUUCAGGUCCAAGAGCAUUUACAUAUGCAGUCGCAACAAAUUUUACAUUGUAUACGAUUAAUGUUAAUAAUAUUAUUAUUGUUCAGGUAUACAUAUCGCAAAUAACAAAGAAAUUAUACGAUUAAUAAUAAUUGAUAUAAUAAUAAUUAAUACUCUUAGCUAUAAUAUAUAGUUUUUGCAAUUGCAAAUGUUGGCAACAGAAAAUUACGUCAGACCAAAAGUUGCAAAUGGGAAACAAUUGUUGUUGCCAAUUCUGUUAGUAUAUGCAAUAUACGUCCAUCGAUAUGUGUGUGUGUAUAUAUAUGUAACAAUUAAUUAACUUCUGUCAGUAAAAUAUAUUUUAUAUAUGACAGUGUGGCGACUAACAGUAAGUAAUAUAUAAAUAGUAAACAGAUAUCGAGAACUAUACGAUAGAUUGAUGGUAAACAUCAAGGAGUUUUGCUAUUGCAAAUACAUAUAUGUAAGUGUUAGUAAAUGUUUUGCAAAAAUACAACAGUACGUAGCGAUGAAAAUACAUGCGAGAGAUUGGUAGAGUCAACAGCGCGAACAAAUCUAUAUCGAAUGUGCAGAUGACGGCAAAAAUUUGAAAUCGCUCAUUCGCGAGCAGUAUGCGACACCAGCACCGCGAAUAAAUUGACAUGACGGAGCCAUCAUUUCUCGCAAGUAAAAAAUUGCGUAUAAUAUAUGACAUAAAAGGCGCAGCAUUUUGAGAUUUUUCAUUUACGUUCUAGCGAAACGAUUUUGAAGACGAGUACUCAAAAUUGGGUUCAAAAAUAAAUGAGAUGCAUUUUUUUUUAUAAUACAACACUUUUAAUUCUGUAAAAAAAUUAAUACAAGAACCGGAUAUUGAUUUCGAUAAUGCAGAGUUUUCGCUUCCGAGAAACAGAUUUGAUUUAUAUUUGACACCACUUUUGCUUGGCGAUAGAUCCGAUCCGCAUUCGGUGCAAAUCUGAUGUAGACGCUUUGCGAUAAAUAGAUCUGCACCUAGCUCUCAGAGUUUGUUGCCAAACAUUUUGCUAUCGUCAAAUCUGCUCUAUUAUUGUUGUCAAUUGUUUGACUGUAAAAUAUGGUUCUUCAAUUUGAUUCACAUUUGGAGAUUAUAUAGGGGAGAUUAUACA